CUGUUUACUUUCUUCCAGAUGCAUCUGAAAUACAGCAGUGGGAGCUCAGGAAAGAAUCUAGCACUGAAAAUCCUGUGCUCAAUGUGCUAUUCCUAGCCCCACCUAAAUCAUCAGAUGAAGAUGUUGUCAUCAUA